rnacentral:rRNA from 1 species
AUCCAGGCGGCGGAAUUCAGGAUGGCGGGCGUGUCUUGAGGGGCGCGUUCGUCGUUUGAUAUUUCCGCCGCCGAAGACGUCGCGACCUGUUCGCGGUUGGUCCCUGCUCGGAGGAGCCGCGUUCGAGUUCGUUGUGGGCGCGUUUUUACGCGUUACACGGCGAAGACGCGGAUCUCUGGCUGACCGACGGACAGUACGCUACAAACGGUGUCCGAUGUCGUCGUCUCGUACGCGCGCGCAUCGGUACCGGUCGGCGACGAAUUCUUCGGGCCUCUUUCCGACCCGUCUUGAAACACGGACCAAGGAGUCUAACAUGCGCGCGAGUCGCGGGGUGUCGAGCGUAUCACGGUACGCUCGUUACGUUACGAAACCCGUACAUGUCGAAGGCGUAAUGAAAGUAAAUGGGGAAGAUGGUGUUCCGAGUACACGUUCCGCGGUCGUCGGUACCGCGGCCGGGCACCCGCAUUCCCGGGGCGUCUCAACGGCCCGUCGCGGAUGCGGACAGUCGUCUCUCGGGGCGGCUGUCGGUCUGCGACGAACCGA